rnacentral:rRNA from 1 species
AUUGAACGCUGGCGGCAGGCCUAACACAUGCAAGUCGAGCGGAUGAAGAGAGCUUGCUCUCUGAUUCAGCGGCGGACGGGUGAGUAAUGCCUAGGAAUCUGCCUGGUAGUGGGGGACAACGCUUCGAAAGGAACGCUAAUACCGCAUACGUCCUACGGGAGAAAGUGGGGGAUCUUCGGACCUAACGCUACCAGAUGAGCCUAGGUACGAUUAGCUAGUUGGUGAGGUAAAGGCUCACCAAGGGGACGAUCGUUAACUGGUCUGAGAGGAUGAGCAGGAACAUGCGAACUGAGACACGGUGCAGACUCCUACGGGAGGCAGCCGUAGGGAAUAUUGGACAUUUGGCGAAAGCCUAGUCCAGCCAUGGGUCGUGUGUGAAGAAGGUCAUCGGAUAGUAAAACACUUUAAGUUGGGAGGAAGUGCAGUAAGUUAAUACCUUGCUGUUUUGACGUUACCGACAGAAUAAGCACCGGCUAACUUCGUGCCAGCCGCCGCGGUAACAC